UACGUAGGGACCAAGCGUUGUUCGGAUUUACUGGGCGUAAAGGGCGCGUAGGCGGCGUGUUAAGUCACUUGUGAAAUCUCUAAGCUUAACUUAGAACGGUCAAGUGAUACUGAUGUGCUAGAGUGCAGAAGGGGCAACCGGAAUUCUUGGUGUAGCGGUGAAAUGCGUAGAUAUCAAGAGGAACACCUGAGGUGAAGACGGGUUGCUGGGCUGACACUGACGCUGAGGCGCGAAAGCUAGGGUAGCAAACGGA
rnacentral:rRNA from 1 species